ACCAUAAUAGCAAGGUCCCCCACCAACGCCAUGAUAGCAUUCCGUGCAACAGCAUCCGAUGGGGGGAUAAGCCAUUGGUGGUGGAGGACAAGGUUCUGGAACCUUUGGUGCUGCUGCUGGCGGUUUCGGUGGUGGUUCUUUUCGUUUCUCAGGUUCCUUAGGCUUUUCGGGUUGUUUAGGUUUCUCGGGUUCUUUGGGUUUUUCGGGUUCUUUCGGCUUUUCGGGUUGUUUAGGUUUCUCGGGUUCUUUGGGUUUUUCGGGUUCUUUUGGUUUUUCGGGUGCUUUAGGCUUUUCGGGUUCUUUUGGUUUUUCUGGUACUUUAGGCUUCUCUGGUUCUUUGGGUUUUUCAGGUUCUUUGGGCUUUUCGGGUUCUUUAGGCUUCUCAGGCUCCUUGGGUUUGGGAGGAGGAGGUGGAGGUUUGAUCUCAAUGCUCUUGAUUGAUCCAGCACCCUUGCAACAUAUCUUGUCCCUCAGCUUCUCAGGAUUGCAGCAUACCACAGUAAUGGUCACGGUGUUGGCUUUCUCAUUGUAUAUCUGGUCUCGUAUUUCUCUUGUUCGCAAAAACCCAUCAUCAAAAAAUUAUCAACUUAAACCAUAUAAAAAACUACUUUGCAAUUAUUAAAAUGCUAAACACAAAAAGGACAAGCAUAAAAAUCAGGAA
rnacentral:lncRNA from 1 species